AGAGUUUGAUCCUGGCUCAGGACGAACGCUGGCGGCGUGCUUAACACAUGCAAGUCGAACGGAAAGGCCCUGCUUUUGUGGGGUGCUCGAGUGGCGAACGGGUGAGUAACACGUGAGUAACCUGCCCUUGACUUUGGGAUAACUUCAGGAAACUGGGGCUAAUACCGGAUAGGAGCUCCUGCUGCAUGGUGGGGGUUGGAAAGUUUCGGCGGUUGGGGAUGGACUCGCGGCUUAUCAGCUUGUUGGUGGGGUAGUGGCUUACCAAGGCUUUGACGGGUAGCCGGCCUGAGAGGGUGACCGGCCACAUUGGGACUGAGAUACGGCCCAGACUCCUACGGGAGGCAGCAGUGGGGAAUAUUGCACAAUGGGCGGAAGCCUGAUGCAGCAACGCCGCGUGCGGGAUGACGGCCUUCGGGUUGUAAACCGCUUUCGCCUGUGACGAAGCGUGAGUGACGGUAAUGGGUAAAGAAGCACCGGCUAACUACGUGCCAGCAGCCGCGGUGAUACGUAGGGUGCGAGCGUUGUCCGGAUUUAUUGGGCGUAAAGGGCUCGUAGGUGGUUGAUCGCGUCGGAAGUGUAAUCUUGGGGCUUAACCCUGAGCGUGCUUUCGAUACGGGUUGACUUGAGGAAGGUAGGGGAGAAUGGAAUUCCUGGUGGAGCGGUGGAAUGCGCAGAUAUCAGGAGGAACACCAGUGGCGAAGGCGGUUCUCUGGGCCUUUCCUGACGCUGAGGAGCGAAAGCGUGGGGAGCGAACAUGCUUAGAUACCCUGGUAGUCCACGCUGUAAACGGUGGGUACUAGUGUGGGGUCCAUUCCACGGGUUCCGUGCCGUAGCUAACGCUUUAAGUACCCCGCCUGGGGAGUACGGCCGCAAGCUAAAACUCAAAGGAAUUGACGG
rnacentral:rRNA from 1 species